UUUUAACUUUCUAAAAUUCCUAAAUCCUUGCUCUCUCUCACCUCUUUUCUUCUGUUCUCCUCUCUAUGUCCUUAUUGUCCUCAGGUUCUCACCUUCUCAUUCCAAACAAUUUUUUUUUCCUGGUAGCAUGGAAAGUGAAAGAAACUGGAGGUAGGAAGACGAGGCUCUUGUGUCUCAUCUAUGGUGGUAUCUUCCUGGAGUGGAAUCUAGGGCGCGGCGGAAGCCAUACGCUUGCAAGAAGGGGAAGUGAAAGGCGGAGGACUUUUGGGUUUUAUUGGCCGAGAAGCAAGGGCACGGUGUCUCUCCAUGGAUUUGGUUCGGUCUCGGUGUGGAAGCCCGGGGAAUCAGCUUUGUGGAUAGUGGUUUUGUGGUUGUGGGAUUUUGGAAACCCUAGAUUUGGUUCAGGGUAGGGUUGUGUGGUUGACUGAUUAGGUUGGGAGCUGGGCUGCGCAUGCGAUUGACUGGGUUUUCAUGCCGUCAAAACCACUGCCUUGGGAUCGGAAGGACUUCUUCAAGGAGAGGAAGCACGAGAGGUCGGAGUCUUUAGGUUUGCUGCAAGAUAGAGGGACUCACAUCAAGUUUCUUGGGAGUUUGCUCGUUGGGAUCGGCAGAUUUUCGCCGCCCUACAGGACAGUUGGGAAUUCAUAGGAAGAUUUGUCCAGAGAUGGUUAUUAUCUUUUGGCAGAAACACUCAAAGAUGAGGGUGAGAAACAGGUUGUUCAAGCAGUUUUAGUGAAACAUAUCUGGGUUAAACUAGUCAAAGAUAACUUGUACCAUCAGGACUCUCAAAACCUUGUUGUGGAGAGGCGUGAAGAGUGACCUAUGGCGCUUGUCACUUUGAAUGCUUUUGAUCUUAUCUUGACAUCUCAGGGUCUCAACCUCGGUACUCUCUUUGAAAAGCCAAUGAUGAAACUUGAAGGGGAGAAAUUUGGAUGCAAGGGUCAUUUUGUCUAUUGCAAUAGAGGCAUUUCUCUCCUAGUUGCCUUGUUUGCAGGAACCCCUGACCAUGAGUUCAUUGGAACAUUACCUGAAGAUGUCUCAAUUGGAUGUCAAUAAUUUACUUGGACAAAUUUUUGAAGUGACCCUUUGCUAUACAUGGUCAAGCUUUGAAAAUCUGGGGGAGAUACUCUAGAAUUUCACAAGGUAUGUAUCUACUAUCUCAAUGCAAUUCUCAUAUUAAAUUAGAAUGAAUAUUGAAUUUUUAUCCCGGGCAUAUUGGUUGCCAAUAUCUUGUUUGAUACCGAAGCCCUACCCUCUUUUAUGUAAAAAGCAUGUGUGAUAAAAUGUAGUGAUGUUUAUGCUAAAACGAGCUUCUACUACCUAUCUUUAAUUUAUUCCAAAAGUAAUUAGACCCCUAGAUAGGGGUCUCUUGGAUAUAAGGACCUUAAAUUCAAUGUAAGACCUGUAUUAAAUUGGCUCCUUAGGGAAUUGACACCCUGAACACAAUAUUAUUUUCCCAUGUUAGGAAAGCAGUCCAUUUUUCUCUAUAAAUUAUGAUUAAUAAAUUCAAUCAUUCACUAAAUUUGUCUUAUGUGCAAUUCUACAAGAACCUCUCAAUUGGGUUGAAAGAUAUUGUCUAGAAAUCAGGAGAUGAAGUAAAAGAGGAAGUGAAUAAUGGUUAGUGUGCAUUAUAACAUAGAUUAACGCAUUUUGCUUGAGUUUAAAUCAUUGUUCCUUUAAUGGCUUUUAAAUGGUGGUCAAUACUUGAAUUUAUAAAUCUAGCCAUGCAAUUGCAUAGAUAGAAAAAGAAAUCAUAUGUAGAACUUGAGAAUAUUAGAAUUUGUAUGGUUUUUGAGAAAAUUUAAACAAAAGAAAAUAAAAAUGAAACAAUUUGUCGUUUCCUAAAAAAUGAAAAAAUCUCAUUGAUGAAAUCUUAUGCAAAAAUUUGUUUAGUCCUUUCUCUUAGGGUUUGGUUCUUGCAAAGUAAUACUUAAGUUAUAUAACAACAACAUGAAUAUUCUUUAUUCCCCUGCAUAAGGUUCAUCAGUUUCUCGAGGAAACUUCAUUCUUCAGUGACAUGCAAUAAUUGUUUUUGAAAGAUGGCUACUGUAAACAUAGAAUCAAUAUGAAAGUUUAUAUACAUGUCACUUAUAAUUAGUUGCCAUAUGCUCUAACCAUCCAUUCGUUAGUGCAUGCAUGUUGCCUAUUCUUGGUCUUCACAUUUUAUAGGCAUGGAGAUGAUACUACAUUUGGCUUGUGGUUGUCUACAUGGUUUUGGAAAUUAUGGAUACGCAUGUUUGAGGCCUUUUGGUUUUGUAUGUCGUGGAAGAUACAAUUCCACCAAUGGAUUAUGACAGUGUCUUUUAAUGCAUUGCGGUCGAUAUGUCAUGGCAGGAGAGAUUACAAAAAUACAUAAAGAGGUAAAUCUAUGUUAUCUGCUAAUAAAAAUAACACCUUCUUUGUUUUGGUGGGAUUUGUGAACUAAAAGAAAUGUUUUUGACUCA